GUCAGCUCGUGUCGUGAGAUGUUGGGUUAAGUCCCGUAACGAGCGCAACCCUUGUCCUUAGUUACCAGCACAUUAUGGUGGGCACUUUAAGGAGACUGCCGGUGACAAACCGGAGGAAGGUGGGGAUGACGUCAAGUCAUCAUGGCCCUUACGGCCUGGGCUACACACGUNNUCCAAUGGUCGNUACAGAGGGUUGCCAAGCCGCGAGGUGGAGCUAAUNUCACAAAACCGAUCGUAGUCCGGAUCGCAGUCUGCAACU
rnacentral:rRNA from 1 species